CCGUGAAUAAGAAGAGCAAGGUCUUUGGUCAUCUUCCCAGAUUCCACGGUUCCAACGCAAGCAGCUUCAAGUUUUAGUGCAAAGUCAAGAAGUCUAGCAUUUAGGUAGGACUUGUACCUGUGUGCAAGUCCUCUGGUCCAAGCAAAGAUUGAAGCAAUGCUGUUUGUGCUGGUUUCACCUCCCUUCUGGUGAACACGGAAAUGACGGGUAACCGUGCCAUGGGCAGCUUCAGCUUCAAUUGUUUUUCCAUCAGGGCACACCUACAUAUUAAACAAAGUACAUAUUCGUACCUUGAGCUAAGAAAUCACUCUGCACAUCUCCAUCGUAAUUCUUGCAAGCCCACACAUAGCCCCCUUCACUCUUAAGUGCAUAAGCAACCAUGUCAUCGAUGAGACGAUGCUCAUACCUACCAGAAGUCAAGAUCAUGACACAUAUUUGAAUAAAUAGUAGGUGCAAAUGUGCAAAAAUGUACUACCUUCCAUCAUAUUUCUUCAGGAUUGUGUUUUUGGUGCUAAGAUAAAGCGGCCAUUUCUUCUCAUAAGCAGUUGUCAUAGAAGCUUCAGCAAAAGCUCGGAUUGACUAUAAAACAGUUACAGGAAUGGUCAGAAAAAUACAUUACUUUUCAACUAAAGAAAACUAAAUAUGGACCAAGCAACCAUACCAAAAACCAGCUUGAGCUUGCCAGGCCCCUUCAGAACUGCAUCAGUUGCUCGGUACUGAUCACCAAAAGCAUGCCUUCCAAUGCAAAUGGGCUUAGUCCAUCCUGCCAAUUUCUGUGUGUUAUAUCAAACUAAUGGUACCAGCAUACCAUUGAUAAUAUUCCUAAUUGUGCCAUUGGGGCUCUUCCACAUUUGCUUUAGGUUGAACUCCUUAACCCGAGCCUCAUCUGGAAUAGUCACGGACUUUAAAAUAUCUUAAAUUCCUUACUUGAGAGUAGCCUCUGCAGCCUCCACGGUGACCUUGUCAUCAGUUGCAUCACGGUGGAGAACUCCCAAGUCAUAGUACUUAAUGUCCAGAUCCAAAAAUGGAAAGAUAAGCUGAAAUAAACAAGAUUAGGGAAGCGGGGGAUCUAACCGUCCAUCUCGACGAUGGGGUUGGCGACCUUGAUCUUCUCGAACGCCAUGGCGGCGGCGGCAGCGGCCGGGUGCGGCGCUGCUUGCCUCGGAGAUCGGGAGCCGGUGGGAAGCAGCCGGCGGCGGAGGAGGAUGUGGGAAAGGAAG
rnacentral:sRNA from 1 species